UACGUAGGGUGCGAGCGUUGUCCGGAAUUAUUGGGCGUAAAGGGCUCGUAGGCGGUUUGUCGCGUCGGGAGUGAAAACCAGGUGCUUAACACCUGGCUUGCUUUCGAUACGGGCAGACUAGAGGCAUGCAGGGGAGAACGGAAUUCCUGGUGUAGCGGUGAAAUGCGCAGAUAUCAGGAGGAACACCGGUGGCGAAGGCGGUUCUCUGGGCAUGUCCUGACGCUGAGGAGCGGAAAGUGUGGGGAGCGAACAGG
rnacentral:rRNA from 1 species